AUUGAACGCUGGCGGCAGGCCUAACACAUGCAAGUCGAACGAGUGGCGGACGGGUGGGUAAUGUCUGGGAAACUGCCUGAUGGACGGGGAUAACUACUGGAAACGGUAGCUAAUACCGCAUACCAUCGGAUGUGCCCAGAUGGGAUUAGCUAGUCGGUGGGGUAAAGGCUCACCAAGGCGACGAUGCCUAGCUGGUCUGAGAGGAUGAGCAGCCACACUGGGACUGAGACACGGUCCAGACUCCUACGGGAGGCAGCAGUGGGGAAUAUUGGGCAAUGGGCGCAAGCCUGACGCAGCCAUGCCGCGUGUAUGAAGAAGGCUUUCGGGUUGUAAAGCACUGUCAGCGGGGAGGCGUUACCUGAAGAAGAAGCAACGGCUAACUCCGUGCCAGCAGCCGCGGUAAUAC
rnacentral:rRNA from 1 species